UAGGGAAUCUUCGGCAAUGGACGAAAGUCUGACCGAGCAACGCCGCGUGAAUGAUGAAGGCCUUCGGGUUGUAAAAUUCUGUUAUCAGGGAAGAAAAGUUAGAGUAGGAAAUGGCUCUAGCGUGACGGUACGUGAUGAGAAAGCCACGGCUAACUACGUGCCAGCAGCCGCGGUAAUACGUAGGUGGCAAGCGUUAUCCGGAAUUAUUGGGCGUAAAGAGCGCGCAGGUGGUUGAUUAAGUCUGAUGUGAAAGCCCACGGCUUAACCGUGGAGGGUCAUUGGAAACUGGUCAACUUGAGUGCAGAAGAGGGAAGUGGAAUUCCAUGUGUAGCGGUGAAAUGCGUAGAGAUAUGGAGGAACACAGUGGCGAAGGCGGCUUCCUGGUCUGUAACUGACACUGAGGCGCGAAAGCGUGGGGAGCAAACAG
rnacentral:rRNA from 1 species